CGGGGAGUAGUUCAACAGCAGAAUGCACGGUUCGGGACCGUGAGGUAGCAGGUGCGACUCCUGUCUCCCCGACUA
rnacentral:tRNA from 3 species